ACAGGAAGAAUUCCCGGAUGGACCCAGCAGCACCUGACCACAGUGACACGUCACCUACACAACCAGGUUGGCUGAGGCUUGUUAUCGUGUCUGUGGGUUUAACCGUGCUCAUCCUGAGUGUCGUGACAGUCGACAUAUGGACGAGAUCUAAAGGCAACAAAACACAGACGGACGACGACGAUGUGAG